GGAUGCGAUCAUACUAGCACUAAAGUAUCGGAUCCCAUCAGAACUCCGAAGUUAAGUGUGCUUGGGCGAGAGUAGUACUAGGAUGGGUGACCUCCUACGAAGUCCUCGUGUUGCAUUCC
rfam:Zea mays cultivar B73 chromosome 2, whole genome shotgun sequence.